UAGGGAAUCUUCGGCAAUGGACGAAAGUCUGACCGAGCAACGCCGCGUGAGUGAAGAAGGUUUUCGGAUCGUAAAACUCUGUUGUUAGAGAAGAACAAGGACGUUAGUAACUGAACGUCCCCUGACGGUAUCUAACCAGAAAGCCACGGCUAACUACGUGCCAGCAGCCGCGGUAAUACGUAGUUGGCAAGCGUUGUCCGGAUUUAUUGGGCGUAAAGCGUGCGCAGGCGGUUUCUUAAGUCUGAUGUGAAAGCCCCCGGCUCAACCGGGGAGGGUCAUUGGAAACUGGGAGACUUGAGUGCAGAAGAGGAGAGUGGAAUUCCACGUGUAGCGGUGAAAUGAGUAGAUAUAUGGAGGAACACCAGUGGCGAAGGCGGCUCUCUGGUCUGUAACUGACGCUGAGGCUCGAAAGCGUGGGGAGCAAACAGG
rnacentral:rRNA from 1 species